rnacentral:rRNA from 1 species
UAAGGAAUAUUGCGCAAUGGGCGAAAGCCUGACGCAGCGACGCCGCGUGGGGGAUGAAGGUCUUCGGAUUGUAAACCCCUUUCGGGAGGGACGAUGGGAUGGGUAACCAUUCGGACGGUACCUCCAGAAGCAGCCACGGCUAACUUCGUGCCAGCAGCCGCGGUAAGACGGAGGGCGCAAGCGUUGUUCGGAAUUACUGGGCGUAAAGCGCGGGCAGGCGGUCUGUUAAGUCGUUUGUGAAAAUCCGGGGCUCAACCCCGGAAAUGCAUACGAUACUGGCAGGCUGGAGACUGGUAGAGGCUAGCGGAAUUCCUGGUGUAGCGGUGGAAUGCGUAGAUAUCAGGAAGAACACCUGUGGCGAAGGCGGCUAGCUGGGCCAGUUCUGACGCUGAUCCGCGAAAGCGUGGGGAGCAAACAGGAUUAGAUACCCCCGUAGUCCCUGAGCGGGCUGGCAAGGCGCAU